rnacentral:lncRNA from 10 species
GCGCGGGGGUCACCGGGCCGGGCCGGCAGCCCUAGAGCUCGGCCUGGCGGGGACCCUGGGCCAGCCCCGCGCCUCCGUGGCCCGGGCGUCUCGUGCGUGUCCGCGAACUCGCGUGCGCGCGUCACCUCGGACCGCAGCAUGGCUCGGAGGGCGGCCCUACUCGCGCCGCCCUAGUGCUGCGAAGGGCCUCGGAGCCCAAACCCGGAACCGCCAUCUGGGACUGGGAAGACGACAUGGCCAGAAGCCGACUGGACAGCCGGCACCACCCCAUGAUUCAAGGAUGGCCAUAGCCCAGUGCAGGAGCAGAUUUGCUUCCAGUUUGCCCUUCCUCCUAGAGGUGGAGUCUCGCUCUGUCACCCAGGCUGGAGUGCAAUGGCACGGUCUCAGCUCACUGCAACCUCUGCCUCCCAGAUUCAAGCAAUUCUGCCUCAACCUCCUGAGUAGCUGGGACUACAGGCACGUGUCACCACGCCCAGCUAUUUUUUUUUUUUUUUUUUUUUUUUUGAGACAGAGUCUCCCUCUGUCGCCCAGGCUGGAGUGCAAUGGCGCAAUCUCAGCUCACUGCAAGCUCCG